UUGGUAGAUGCUUCCUAUUGCAUUAGUAGUCACCCUAUAUGCUUGAGAGUAGAUGAUGUAUAGGUGUGAGAUAGUUUGGAAGAUUGUAAACUUUAUGUUUAUGUUUUGAAAGAAUGUAAAGUUAAUCAAGUGUAUUAAAGUUGAAUGGAUGUAAAAGAUUAGUAUAUCUCUUUUGUUCACUUGUUUAUUACUUGUGAUGCUUGCUCUUGAUUGUUUAGCACUGGUUGUGCUCUCGCUAUUGUUGUUGAUUGUGUAUGUAUUUCAAGUUGUUUUUCCUCGGCACUUGUUGUACACAAUCUUGAUGCUUAGCCUUCGGCGGACAGAAGAG
rnacentral:lncRNA from 1 species